UAAUAAGUGUUUUAUGGCACUUUUUAAAUCCAUAUCCACCUUGUGUGCAAUGUCGGUCGAUCUUCUUUUUUGAGGAUCGACCAAGCAUCAACCUUUAUUUUCUAACUCUUUGUCUGAAAAAUAUUAUGAAUAAACAAUUCAAAAUA
rnacentral:misc_RNA from 1 species